rnacentral:lncRNA from 10 species
AUGCAAUUUCAGGAUUGCUCCAGGAAAUAGCCUGUUGAGAAUUCAGUGCUAGGAGAAAGCUGUGCUUUCCAAAUGAAUCCUAUGCCUUCUAAAAAGACAUCCAUAUGAUCCACAUUUUCUUUCUUUGCCUUAGCUGCCAGGGAGCUAGCAGUUAAAUUAGGUGGCUCACAGCAAUCAUUAGCUCUUCUCUAUUUUCUCUACAAAUGUAUCUGCAAUAUUUUUUUUUCCAGAGUAAGGUCUUUCUCCCAGUGGAGAAAUCACUUGGGCCACUUCUGCAUCUAGAGUGUCAGACCCAAGCUAGGAAAAAGAAUCAUCUUUAAAAGUAUGUCAUCAGCACUCAAGACCUUUAAUGAGCCAGCGGAAUUGGUCUCCUGGUCCUCUCCUCACUCCACAGAGACUGAAAACUAUGUCAGUUCAUCGCCACGCAAUAUAUAUCAAGGACUACCAUGAGUCAGAGACUCUGCCAGCACUGGGCAAAGAAGGAAGAAGGCCUUGUCUGGGACAUCAUGGUGCUUAAAGUCUAGAGAAGUGUCCAGAGAAGUCAACAAGUGGGAAGAGGCCAGAAGUCUCAAAUUAAGGUG